rnacentral:piRNA from 1 species
UGGCCAGUCAGAACUUCAUCAGUUAAGGACC